rnacentral:rRNA from 1 species
CCUACGGGUGGCAGCAGUGAGGAAUAUUGGUCAAUGGACGGAAGUCUGAACCAGCCAUGCCGCGUGCAGGAAGACGGCUCUAUGAGUUGUAAACUGCUUUUGUACAAGGGUAAACCUGAAUACGUGUAUUCAGCUGAAAGUACUGUACGAAUAAGGAUCGGCUAACUCCGUGCCAGCAGCCGCGGUGAUACGGAGGAUCCAAGCGUUAUCCGGAUUUAUUGGGUUUAAAGGGUGCGUAGGCGGAUUGAUAAGUUAGAGGUGAAAUGUCCGGGCUUAACUCGGGAACUGCCUCUAAUACUGUUGGUCUAGAGAGUAGAUGAGGUAGGCGGAAUGUAUGGUGUAGCGGUGAAAUGCUUAGAGAUCAUACAGAACACCGAUUGCGAAGGCAGCUUACCAGUCUAUAUCUGACGUUGAGGCACGAAAGCGUGGGGAGCAAACAGGAUUAGAUACCCUUGUAGUC